rnacentral:tRNA from 1 species
CGACGUCGAUGGUGAACUACCUGGCCGGCUCCGAUCCGGCCUCCGCACUCGACCGCGCCGAUCUGCUCGGCAUGGCGUCGA